AGCUGAGAAAGAGAGCGAGAGAGAACGAGAGAGAGAGAGAGUUGAAAAAAGAAGGCAUACGAGGGGGGUAGCACCAAUGAGGCGGAGCAAAGGGAUGCGAGGAUGUGGCCGCCAUACUGAAGACGGCAGUGUGGAUGAGAGCGGCAGUCAGUGAUGAAAAGAAGAAAGCAGCUGUAUAGCCAGCAAUUAUGUGUCAUGGGCAACCUGAGAAUGCUUGGAAAUUACAGAGCGUGUAAGAUGUGUGUGUGAGAAAACAGCAGCACCAAACCCCCUCCACUCCUUUAGACGGCAUCUAUGAAGACGCCUGUGUCCUACUUUAACCGCUUCUGUAAAUAAUGCAGUUACUCUUCGACUGAGGAAAGAAUGGAGGGAGAGAUAAAUACCCAUAAUGCUUUGCUCCGCCAUCACAGAUGAGAGAAAGCGUUCAGACGGGAAAUCUUGCAUUGAAUGUUGUCUUAUAGCAGCAGAUGCAUGGAUCUGUAGAAAAAUAAGAGACAAACAUGAGGAAAUCUGACGUAUAAUAAAUGAAAGAGAAGAAAAUCAAGCUGUGAGUUUUGCAGGUCUAAAUCUUCCUCUGCUGGUUGCCAGAUUUUUUGCUUCCAACACAGAAGAAAAGAUGGAGAGAAAAUGGAAAUAUUAUAAGCCUAAUUCUUUGUUCUUUUUACGCCCUGAGCUGUUGGGGUCUAAGUCAGUGUGUGCGUGCGCGCACGUGUGUGUGUGAUAUCUGAUUUCAUGACCACAUCUGCUUGGAUGGAGGUAGGAAGUUGUGGAUCUCAGAUCUCCAGGUGAUGUUCACCUCAGACAUAUGAAAAAUCAAACUGUCUGCAUGAAUCACAGAUGCUCACCUUGUUUUCUCUGUUGAAAUAGCUUAUUAAUGUGAAUAUAAAACAUCAUAUGUGCACAUUUAGAUCAAUCUACAUUUAUCAAUGCCUAAUUUGAUGUUACAGUUUUCAACAACCAUUAAACAGAAAUUCUCCACCGGCUUAUUCGUUCAACCCCACGCGAUUCCUCAAUGUUUUUAAAUGAAUUCAUGACUGGAGGUGGCUGCAGAUAUUCCUUUUGAUCUGAUGCUGAAAAAAAUAAAAAAUUCACUUUAUAGGAUCCAUGAUUGAGCGGUAUGGUAAUUCGUUCAGGAUGAAUCAUUUCCUGAACUGAUGAAUCAUUGGAGUUGGAUUAAACUUACAAAAUUUUACUUUUGAUAUGGAAAUUAGCAUGCUUUACUUGCUUGUAAUUGGUUUAGUUGACUAGUUUAGCUAAAAAGCAAUUCUAGCACCAUAACAUAAGUAUGCAGAACAUUCACAAAAUCUCACUGAGAAAGACAUCAAACAUCUAUUAUUGUCCAUUCUUAUAUCGGCUCACUAGCUGUGUUUCCAUUACCCUUUAAAGUGCACAAAUUGACAUUGUGAAUUUGAAAAUACGGUCAAUGGAAACACGCCAAUUUAGCAAAAAAACUACCAUAUAUCGCCAAAUAAUUAUGCUUGCAUAAGGUGGUUUUUCAGGCAAUUCGGAUAAGGUGUAUUUCACAAAACUGCAAUGGAAACCUGAUGUAAGUAAGUCACAUAAUUAUUAUUUGAAGAUGAUGUGGUAUGAACUAAAACCUCCCAGAAACACAUCAAUACAUGUCUGCUCAUAAACAUAAGAGGCUUUCCUUCACAAUAAUGUUUGGAUAACACUCCUACAUCUCUUUUGAUUUAAAAUAAUCUACUAUUAUCUCCAAGAAAUACCUAUAUGUUGCCG